rnacentral:rRNA from 1 species
GACGAACGCUGGCGGCGUGCUUAACACAUGCAAGUCGAACGAAGCACCUUGAUUUGAUUCUUCGGAUGAAGAUCUUGGUGACUGAGUGGCGGACGGGUGAGUAACGCGUGGGUAACCUGCCUCAUACAGGGGGAUAACAGUUAGAAAUGACUGCUAAUACCGCAUAAGACCACAGUACCGCAUGGUACAGGGGUAAAAACUCCGGUGGUAUGAGAUGGACCCGCGUCUGAUUAGGUAGUUGGUGGGGUAACGGCCUACCAAGCCGACGAUCCGGAGGCGACCUGAGAGGGGUACCGGGCAAAUUGGGACUGAGAAACGGCCCAAACUCCUACGGGAGGCAGCAGUGGGGAAUAUUGCACAAUGGGGGAAACCCUGAUGGAGCGAAGCCGCGUGAGCGAUGAAGUAUUUCGGUAUGUAAAGCUCUAUCAGCAGGGAAGAAAAUAACGGUACCUGACUAAGAAGCACCGGCUAAAUACGUGCCAGCCGCCGCGGUAA